UACAGAGGUGGCAAGCGUUGUUCGGAAUUACUGGGCGUAAAGAGUGCGUAGGCGGUGCUCUAAGUUUGGUGUGAAAUCUCCCGGCUUAACUGGGAGGGUGCGCCGAAAACUGGAGUGCUUGAGUGUGGGAGAGGUAAGCGGAAUUCCUGGUGUAGCGGUGAAAUGCGUAGAUAUCAGGAGGAACACCUGUGGUGUAGACAGCUUACUGGACCAUGACUGACGCUGAGGCACGAAAGCGUGGGGAGCAAACAGG
rnacentral:rRNA from 1 species